rnacentral:ncRNA from 1 species
CUCUUCAGGGCAGGGUGAGAUUCCCGACCGGCGGUAAAGAAGUCCGCGAGCAUGAUGCUGAACCGGUGAGAUUCCGGUACCGACAGUAAAGUCUGGAUGGAAGAAGACA